rnacentral:misc_RNA from 1 species
GCCUAGCCCCGACAGGAGGGAUAAGCAGCUGAGCCGGGGUUCGGCUCGGCUGCUUAGGAAGGAUGGCGGGAACGUUG